rnacentral:lncRNA from 1 species
GAGAGCAACUAAAAAUAUAAAAACUUUGUAUUCACUAUAUACUAAAACUAAACAACAAUUUAACACUCUAGAAAAAUGCAAUGUUAUCUACUCCAUAUCUUGUACAAACUGUGAUUUAGUUUAUAUUGGUCAAACCGGUAGAAAUUUAUCUAGUCGCAUAACAUCUCAUAAAAGUGAUUGUAAAAUUCUUAAACCCUCAUGUGCCUUAGCAGAGCACGUUAUUCAAAAUAACCACAUUAUGAAUUUUCAUGAUCCAAAAAUAUUAGAUAUUGAAAACAAUAAACAUAAACGUACUUUUCUUGAGAUGGUUCAUAUCAGCAAAGGUUCGAACACAAUGAACAAAAAAUCUGAAAUUGACAAUCUUAGCAAAAUUUAUAAUUACAUCCUUUCUUUUGAAAAAUAAUCAUAGUUAUAUCAAAUCAUUAUUAUUUUUUUUCUAAUCUACACUUUAUAAUUUGGCAUUAAAUGUUAACAAAA